rnacentral:rRNA from 1 species
AUUGAACGCUGGCGGCAGGCCUAACACAUGCAAGUCGAGCGGAGCGGCGGACGGGUGAGUAAUGCCUAGGAAUCUGCCUGGCAGUGGGGGAUAACGUCCGGAAACGGGCGCUAAUACCGCAUACUAUCAGAUGAGCCUAGGCAGGAUCAGCUAGUUGGUGGGGUAAAGGCUUACCAAGGCGACGAUCCGUAACUGGCCUGAGAGGAUGAUCAGUCACACUGGAACUGAGACACGGGCAAGACUCCUACGGGAGGCAGCAGUGGGGAAUAUUGGACAAUGGGCGAAAGCCUGAUCCGUCCCGGCCGCGUGUGUGGAGAAGGUCUUCGGAUUGUGAAGCACUUUAAGUUGGGAGGCGUUACCAACAGGAUGAGCACCGGCUAGCUGCGUGCCAGCAGCCGCGGUAAUAC